rnacentral:tRNA from 1 species
GCCUGGGUGGCUCAGUCGGUUAAGUGUCCGACUUCAGCUCAGGUCAUGAUCUCGCGGUCCGUGGGUUCGAGCCCCGCGUCAGGCU